GACGAACCACACGAACGUUAUUCGGAAUUACUGGGCUUAAAGGGUGCGUAGGCGGCGCGGAAAGUAGGGUGUGAAAUCCCUCGGCUCAACCGAGGAAUUGCGCCCUAAACUACCGUGCUCGAGGAAGAUAGAGGUGAGCGGAACUUAGGGUGGAGCGGUGAAAUGCGUUGAUAUCCUAAGGAACACCGGUGGCGAAAGCGGCUCACUGGAUCUUUUCUGACGCUGAUGCACGAAAGCUAGGGUAGCGAACGGG
rnacentral:rRNA from 1 species